CGUUUUUUUCAGUUGAAUUUUGUCAGUCACACCAAAUACACUCAUUCCUAAAACCGCAUAAAAAAUUUAAAACAGUUUCCAACGUAUAAAAAACAUAAUAUAUAAUAUAUUAAGUGAAUUUAUAGCAUAAUUUUUUAAAUUAGGAAAGAUGGACUGUGCUUUCUGUAACCGUACUAUGGAGGGCUGCGCGUCGAUAAAGUGCAGCCUGUGUGCGUCCCAGUUCCACCUGGAGUGUGUGAGCAGUGAGCACCUGGUGCCGAGCACGAACAGCUGGCGGUGCUGCCGAUGCGAGUCCCUCAACUCGGCCGCGACAGCAGCCAAGAUCGACACCGCCGUCCGUGUGUAAAAUGUUUCUACGUCGUAACUGGUAAAUUGAUUGUGAACCCCCACCUCGACAUAUUUGGAAAUAAAUGUAGUUUGAUAUACAGUG